rnacentral:rRNA from 1 species
UGCAGAAUCCCGUGAACCAUCGAGUCUUUGAACGCAAGUUGCGCCCGAAGCCAUUUGGCCGAGGGCACGUUUGCCUGGGUGUCA